rnacentral:rRNA from 1 species
UACGGAGGAUCCGAGCGUUAUCCGGAUUUAUUGGGUUUAAAGGGUGCGCAGGCGGGAGAUUAAGUCGGCGGUGAAAUUUUGCAGCUCAACUGUAAAAGUGCCUUCGAAACUGGUUUCCUUGAGUGUAGAUGAAGUAGGCGGAAUUUGUGGUGUAGCGGUGAAAUGCAUAGAUAUCACGAGGAACUCCGAUUGCGCAGGCAGCUUACUAAACUACUACUGACGCUCAGGCACGAAGGCGUGGGGAUCAAACAGGAUUAGAUAUCCCGGUA